AACGAACGCUGGCGGCAUGCCUAACACAUGCAAGUCGAACGAAACCUUCGGGCCUAGUGGCGCACGGGUGCGUAACGCGUGGGAACCUGCCCUUAGGUUCGGAAUAACUCCCCGAAAGGGGUGCUAAUACCGGAUAAUGUCUUCGGACCAAAGAUUUAUCGCCUUUGGAUGGGCCCGCGUUGGAUUAGCUAGUUGGUAGGGUAAAAGCCUACCAAGGCGACGAUCCAUAGCUGGUCUGAGAGGAUGAUCAGCCACACUGGGACUGAGACACGGCCCAGACUCCUACGGGAGGCAGCAGUGGGGAAUAUUGGACAAUGGGGGAAAGCCUGAUCCAGCAAUGCCGCGUGAGUGAUGAAGGCCUUAGGGUUGUAAAGCUCUUUUACCCGGGAUGAUAAUGACGGUACCGGGAGAAUAAGCUCCGGCUAACUCCGUG
rnacentral:rRNA from 1 species